rnacentral:tRNA from 1 species
UGAGGGUUCAAGUCCC